UGCACUUACACCUUCGACCUAUCAACCAGAUAGUCUUUCUGGGGUCUUACCCUUGCGGUGGGAAAUCUUAUCUUGAAGUUGGCUUCGCGCUUAGAUGCUUUCAGCGCUUAUCCAUUCCGUACAUAGCUACCCAGCCAUGCCCUUGGCAGAACAACUGGUACACCAGAGGUACGUCCAUCCCGGUCCUCUCGUACUAAGGACAGGUCUUCUCAAAUUUCCUACGCCUGCGACGGAUAGGGACCGAACUGUCUCACGACGUUCUGAACCCAGCUCGCGUACCACUUUAAUGGGCGAACAGCCCAACCCUUGGGACCUACUACAGCCCCAGGAUGUGAUGAGCCGACAUCGAGGUGCCAAACCUCCCCGUCGAUGUGGACUCUUGGGGGAGAUAAGCCUGUUAUCCCCAGGGUAGCUUUUAUCCGUUGAGCGAUGGCCCUUCCACGCAGAACCACCGGAUCACUAAGUCCGAUUUUCAUCCUUGCUCGACCUGUAUGUCUUGCAAUCAAGCUCUCUUUUGCCUUUACACUCUACGUACGAUUUCCGACCGUACUGAGAGAACCUUUGAGCGCCUCCGUUACCUUUUGGGAGGCGACCGCCCCAGUCAAACUGCCCACCUGACAGUGUCCCAAGACCAGAUUCAUGGCCUAUGGUUAGAGUCCCAGUACUACAAGGGUGGUAUCCCAAGGAUGGCUCCGCCAAAACUGGCGUCCUGGUUUCAAAGCCUCCCACCUAUCCUGUACAUGUAGUACCAAGACCCAAUGUCAAGCUACAGUAAAGCUCCAUGGGGUCUUUCCGUCCUGUCGCAGGUAUCCGGCAUCUUCACCGGAAUUACAAUUUCACCGAGUCUGUUGUUGAGACAGUGCCCAAAUCGUUACGCCUUUCGUGCGGGUCGGAACUUACCCGACAAGGAAUUUCGCUACCUUAGGACCGUUAUAGUUACGGCCGCCGUUUACUGGGGCUUAAGUUCACUGCUUCGAUUGCUCUAACAGAUCCCCUUAACCUUCCAGCACCGGGCAGGCGUCAGCUCCUAUACAUCGUCUUGCGACUUAGCAGAAACCUAUGUUUUUGGUAAACAGUCGCUUGGGCCUAUUCUCUGCGGCCACCUGAUGGUGGCACCCCUUAUCCCUAAGUUACGGGGUCAUUUUGCCGAGUUCCUUAACAACAGUUCUCUCGCUGGCCUUAGGAUACUCUCCUCACCCACCUGUGUCGGUUUGCGGUACGGGUACCUUUAACCUCGAUAGAGACUUUUCUUGACAGUGUGAAAUCAGCUACUUCGCUACUAAAUUUCGCUCCCCAUCACAUCCCAGCAUUAUCAAAGCGGAUUUGCCUACUUUGACUGCCUCAAUGCUUGGGCACACAUAACCAACAGUGUGCUUAGCUUAUCCUACUGUGUCAUCCCUUCUCUCAAACGGUUAUCGGUAGUACAGGAAUAUCAACCUGUUGUCCAUCACCUACGCCUUUCGGCCUCAGCUUAGGUCCCGACUAACCCAGGGCGGACGAACCUUCCCCUGGAAACCUUGGGUUUACGGCCUGUGGGAUUCUCACCCACAUCUCGCUACUCAUGCCAACAUUCUCACUCCCAUACUGUCCACAUGUCCUUACGGUCAUGCUUCAACCCGUAUGGGAAGCUCCCCUACCCAUCAUUACUGAUGCCGUAGCUUCGGUAGUAAGUUUUAGCCCCGGAAAUCUUCGGCGCAGGAUCACUCGACCAGUGAGCUAUUACGCACUCUUUGAAUGAGUGGCUGCUUCUAAGCCAACAUCCUGGUUGUCUGUGCAAUCCCACAUCCUUUACCACUUAACUUACAUUUAGGGACCUUAGCUGACGAUCUGGGCUGUUGCCCUUUCGACUAUGAAUCUUAUCACCCACAGUCUGACUCCCAAGUAUAAGAUGACGGCAUUCGGAGUUUGAUAGUCUUCGGUAGGUGCAAUACCCCCUAGGACAUUCAGUGCUCUACCUCCGUAUCUCUCACCUUGAGGCUAGCCCUAAAGCUAUUUCGGGGAGAACCAGCUAUCUCCGGGCUCGAUUGGAAUUUCACCGCUACCCACAAGUCAUCCCCGAGCUUUUCAACGCUCGUGGGUUCGGACCUCCACGAAAUUUUACUUUCGCUUCAUCCUGCUCAUGGGUAGGUCGCCCGGUUUCGGGUCUACGUCAAGUAACUGAACGCUCAGUUAAAACUCGCUUUCGCUACGGCUCCACACCUUAAGUGCUUAACCUUGCUACUUAACGUAACUCGUUGGCCCGUUCUACAAAAAGUACGCGGUCACACAAGAAAUGUGCUUCCACAGCUUGUAAGUGCAGGGUUUCAGGUUCUAUUUCACUCCCCUCCCGGGGUUCUUUUCACCUUUCCCUCACGGUACUAUACGCUAUCGGUCACUAGGUAGUAUUUAGCCUUGGAGGGUGGUCCCUCCUGCUUCCCACAGGGUUUCACGUGUCCCGUGGUACUCUGGAUCAUAUCUGAAGUCUUCUCGUUUAACAUACAGGACUAUUACCUUCUGUGGUGGGUCUUUCCAAACCUCUUCAAUUACGAUACCUCUUCGUUAUGAUAUGUCCGCAACCCCAAUAAAGAAAACUUUAUUGGUUUGGGCUAAUCCGCGUUCGCUCGCCGCUACUUACGGAAUCGAAUUUCUUUCUCUUCCUUCAGGUACUUAGAUGUUUCAGUUCCCUGAGUUCCCCUCAUUAAGCUAUGUAUUCACUUAAUGAUACUUAGACAUUACUCUAAGUGAGUUUCCUCAUUCGGAAAUCUUCGGAUCAAAGUUUACGUGCAACUCCCCGAAGCUUAUCGCAGCUUAUCACGUCCUUCAUCGGCUCCUAGUGCCAAGGCAUCCGCCCUGCACCCUUAAUAACUUGACCAGUUAAAAAGGUUUGAUAGAUUAGAAGCUAUCAACUUCGAUAAUU
rnacentral:rRNA from 1 species